rnacentral:rRNA from 1 species
GCGAGUGGCGAACGGGUGAGUAACGCGUGAGGAACCUGCCUCAAAGAGGGGGACGAACAGUUGGAAACGACUGCUAAUACCGCAUAAGCCCACGGGUCGGCAUCGACCAGAGGGAAAAGGAGCAAUCCGCUUUGAGAUGGCCUCGCGUCCGAUUAGCUAGUUGGUGAGGUAAUGGCCCACCAAGCCUUCGAUGGAUAGGGGUUCUGAGAGGAAGGUCCCCCACAUUGGAACUGAGACACGGUCCAAACUCCUACGGGAGGCAGCAUG